CAUUAUCCUCGUUAUAACAAACUCUUAACUAAACACCGGAAACAAAAUAUAUCCGUGUCCCGUAUCCCAAUCACCCCCUACUGAAAAAGGAAGAGUGUGGUGAGUAUCUCAGUACCCGUUGCAUAUAUGCCACAAUUGUUUGAUGACUUGAGGAAAACAUUUUCUUCCAUGUAUGGUUGUAACUAGAAAUAUUCAGUCCAAUCAACUACAAACUAGUUUAGUUGGCACUUUUAAGGUAAUUUAAGGUCCAAAUCUUGAGAAUAAAAUCAGACACUUUUCCAAGAA
rnacentral:misc_RNA from 1 species